rnacentral:rRNA from 1 species
AGUCGAGAAUCUUCGGCAAUGGGCGCAAGCCUGACCGAGCGACGCCGCGUGGAGGACGAAGGCCUUCGGGUUGUAAACUCCUGUCGAGGGGGAACAAGGGGGCGUGCAGAGCGUCCCUUGAGUGAUCCCUGGAGGAAGCACGGGCUAAGUUCGUGCCAGCAGCCGCGGUAAGACGAACCGUGCGAACGUUAUUCGGAAUCACUGGGCUUAAAGCGCGUGUAGGCGGGUGGUCGCGUCGCUUGCUGAAAGCCCCCGGCUCAACCGGGGGACCGGCGGCGAAACGGGCCACCUCGAGGGGCGUAGGGGGAGCUGGAACUCACGGUGGAGCGGUGAAAUGCGUUGAGAUCGUGAGGAACGCCCGCGGCGAAAGCGAGCUCCUGGACGCCUGCUGACGCUGAGACGCGAAAGCCAGGGGAGCGAA